rnacentral:rRNA from 1 species
AUGGCCGCCGCCGGCGCUGUGACCAGGAGGAGCAUGCCCUUGUUCGACGGCGGCGUGUUCCUGGGCGACGUGGACGUGCUCCUCCCACCAGGAACUGAAAGCGCAUCGUCAUCUUGCAUGGAUCUCGGCCAACCGGCCGUGUUCCCGAGGAACGAGAUCCGGAUCAGCCGCCGGUCGCCGGCGAGUGAGAGGUGCCCUCCGCUGGCCGUGCUGCAGGUCAUCAGCGCCUACUCUUUGCGCUGCAAGCUCGAGGCCAGAGCAGCCGAUCUCCAUCCCACGUCCCUUCUGCACAGGCUCCACGACUCCUGCUGGAAGAAGGGCAUGACUGCUGUGGUGGAGGACGGAGAGGAGGAACUACACCUCAUUGCUAUGCAAAGCAAGCAGGUGAAAGGUCUAGCUUGCUUCUGGUGUUGGUCUGCACCAACGGGGCUUUAUGCGGCAUGCCUUCGGAUGCUUAAUAACCGAUGUCUAGCCCUCGUGCUUGACCUUGAUGAAACCGUUGUGUUUUCUAACACAGCGGAAAUGUUCCAAAGUCGGUUGGACAAGAUUAUGUCAGGCUUGGAGGAUUCAGAGCUUGAUAGUGCUAACGAAUCAGCAAUGUCCGACAAGUUCAAUCGGACUUUUAACGAUAAACAGUUGCUUGUCGAUUUCAACGAAACAGGUAUUAUAACUAUAAAUUGUCUCCAAACAGUGAGGAGCCAUGAUGAACAGGGCAUGUUGCGUAAACCCAGUGGACAGCUCGAGUUUAUUACCCGUCCUAUAAUCAGGUUACAGGGCAGGAAUGCGGUACUGACUCGCAUCGCUCCAACGGAUCCAAGCACUGGUUAUUUUGUAAACAUAAGGCCUGGUUGGGAUGAUUUGAAGGGUUAUUUGAAUACUGCCAGUGGGCGCCAAAGAUUUAAAGUCUAUGUUUGCACAAUGGCCGGAAGAGAUUAUGCUCUUGAGAUAUGGAGACUGCUUGAUCCAGAAGGCCGUUUGAUCAGUCUAAAUGAGAUUUCACAACGCUUAAUAUGUGUGAGGCCAGAUUGCAAGAAGUCACUUGAGCGUGUGUUUCAAGAUAGCUUAUGUCACCCAAGUAUGGCCACGGUGCUUGAUGACCGUAGGGAUGUUUGGGAUGAAAGAGAUAAACGGCGAGUUUUUGUAGCACCACCUUACAAACCAUUAGUUGACCCUGAAGACAAGGUGGCGAAUGGUCAUAGUGCGCUUCAUACUCUAACAAAUAUUGCAUGCCAUGCCCGCAAAGGAUUCUUCAGUUACUUUGAUGGGAUGCUACUUAAAAAUAUGAACGAGCUAAUGUAUGAAAAUGAGGUAUUGGAUCUUCCAUACAACCCAGAUGUUGGUGACUACCUACAACUUGGCGGGUCAUGUGGCGGUGCUGGCUCUGACGGGCCUGCCCUGCUGCCCAGACCAACGUCGCUUGGGUACUGGCCACCGAACGGGCGUCCACGCGUCGGCUCUCCGCCAAGACGCGCUCCUCUCCUCGCUUGCUCCAGGAGCCCCUUGGUUUGCCGCUGCCAUGGCUGGGAUCGAGGGUUUAGGCUGAUACCAUGUAGAGGAACCCCUCUCUCCGUGCCGCUUCCUCCCGAUCCACCCUCCUCGCGCCGCUGUCCUCUUCCCGUGCCGCCCCUCCCCUCUUCCCGCACCCCGAGCCGCUACACCCUGCACCCGCGCCGCCGAACCACCUCGCAGCCAUGUCGGCUAGGUCAGCCUCCUCCGGUCCGAGCAACCCGUUCGACUCCUCCUACGGUACCGAGCCCGAAGAGCCCCUUGCCGCCGACCAGGAAUUUUUUGGGUGUCACCAAAAGGACUCCACCAUCAACGCCUACUGUCUCCGGCUCAAGACCCUCUCUGACGAGCUCAACAACGUCGGCGGCGGAUGAAGCAACUCCGCACCCGCGCUGCCCACACCGCCCGCGCCGCCGGCCUCUCCCACGGCGCUCCUACACCACCAUCGGCGCCUUGUCCUCCGGUCGUCACGCCGCACCGCUGCCACUAGUGCAGAACAGGCCUUUAUCACCGUACCGGUUGGUAGCAUCAACCGGUACUAAAUGUUUGGGGGGGGGGUUGGUUUUAAUUUUUAUUUUUUCAUUAAUUUUUACUUCAACUUUUCCUUCGUCAACUUUAAUGUCUAACAAGAUCCAGUGGAAGCUGCAUGCACAUAAGUUUGCAUCUCGGGAACGUAAACGGUUUGCCCACAAUAAUAUUGGGCGCACGCACUCUCAUGUGUUGUUGGCACAACAAGCGGGGUGGUCGAUUGCGCCGCCUGUUCUCCCAGCUGGGGAACGGUUUUCCCGCAUUUUUUGA